rnacentral:rRNA from 1 species
UACGAAGGGGGCUGGCGUUGCUCGGAAUCACUGGGCGGAAAGGGUGCGUAGGCGGGUUUUUAAGUCAGGGGUGAAAUCCUGGAGCUCAACUCCAGAACUGCCUUUGAUACUGAAGAUCUUGAGUCCGGGAGAGGUGAGUGGAACUGCGAGUGUAGAGGUGAAAUUCGUAGAUAUUCGCAAGAACACCAGUGGCGAAGGCGGCUCACUGGCCCGGUACUGACGCUGAGGCACGAAAGCGUGGGGAGCAAACAGG